UACGGGGGGGGCAAGCGUUGUUCGGAAUUACUGGGCGUAAAGGGCUCGUAGGCGGCCAACUAAGUCAUACGUGAAAUCCCUCGGCUUAACCGGGGAACUGCGUCUGAUACUGGAUGGCUUGAGUUCGGGAGAGGGAUGCGGAAUUCCAGGUGUAGCGGUGAAAUUCGUAGAUAUCGAGAGGAACACCGGUGGCGAAGGCGGCUAUCUGGACAGUGACUGACGCUGAGACGCGAAAGCGUGGGGAGCAAACAGG
rnacentral:rRNA from 1 species